UACGUAGGCAGCGAGCGUUGUUCGGAUUUACUGGGCGUGAAGCGUGCGUAGGCGGUGGUCCAAGUCUGGUGUGAAAUCUCCCGGCUUAACUGGGAGGGUGCGCCGGAAACUGGGCCGCUGGAGUACGGGAGAGGCAAGCGGAAUUCCAGGUGUAGCGGUGAAAUGCGUAGAUAUCUGGAGGAACACCCGUGGUGCAGACGGCUUGCUGGACCGUGACUGACGCUGAGGCACGAAAGUGUGGGUAGCAAACAGG
rnacentral:rRNA from 1 species